rnacentral:rRNA from 1 species
UACAGAGGUCUCAAGCGUUGUCCGGAUUUAUUGGGCGUAAAGAGCGUGUAGGCGGCUUUGCAAGUCCGUUGUGAAAACUCGAGGCUCAACCUCGAGACGCCGGUGGAAACUGCAAAGCUAGAGUCCGGAAAGAGGAGAGUGGAAUUCCUGGUGUAGCGGUGAAAUGCGCAGAUAUCAGGAAGAACACCCGUGGCGAAGGCGGCUCUCUGGGACGGUACUGACGCUGAGACGCGAAAGCGUGGGGAGCGAACAGGAUAGAU